CUUUCAACAACGGAUCUCUUGGUUCUGGCAUCGAUGAAGAACGCAGCGAAAUGCGACAAGUAAUGUGAAUUGCAGAAUUUAGUGAAUCAUCGAAUCUUUGAACGCACAUUGCGCCCCUCGGUAUUCCGGGGGGCAUGCCUGUUCGAGCGUCA
rnacentral:rRNA from 1 species